rnacentral:rRNA from 1 species
GUCGCAAGACCAAAGUGGGGGACCUUCGGGCCUCAUGCCAUCAGAUGUGCCCAGAUGGGAUUAGCUAGUAGGUGGGGUAACGGCUCACCUAGGCGACGAUCCCUAGCUGGUCUGAGAGGAUGACCAGCCACACUGGAACUGAGACACGGUCCAGACUCCUACGGGAGGCAGCAGUGGGGAAUAUUGCACAAUGGGCGCAAGCCUGAUGCAGCCAUGCCGCGUGUGUGAAGAAGGCCUCGGGUUGUAAAGCACUUUCAGCGGGGAGGAAGGCGGUGAGGUUAAUAACCUUGUCGAUUGACGUUACCCGCAGAAGAAGCACCGGCUAACUCCGUGCCAGCAGCCGCGGUAAUACGGAGGGUGCAAGCGUUAAUCGGAAU